CGGCUUCGUAAAUCUCUUGUGAAAUCGUCAGGCUUAACCUGACGGCGUGCUCGAGACACUGCGUCGCUUGAGACCGGGAGGAGUCAGAGGUAUUCCUGAGGGAGCGGUAAAAUGUGAUAAUCUCAGGAGGAUCACCUAUGGCGAAGGCAUCUGACCAGAACGGUUCUGACGGUGAGGGACGAAGGCUAGGGGAGCGAUCCGGAUUAGAUACCCGAGUAGUCCUAGCAGUAAACGCUGCGAGCAAGAUGUUGCAUUUCUCACGAGGAUAUGCAGUGUCGAAGAGAAGUCGUUAAGCUCGCCGCCUGGGAA
rnacentral:rRNA from 1 species